rnacentral:misc_RNA from 1 species
AUCCCACUACGAAGAAACUAACAUCGUCCUACUCAUGUGUAGUGUAUAACCUGGCUAACUACCAUACAGAGGAACUCGGCUUCAGAAACGGAGGCUACCUAUAGAUAACCACCCACUCACCUUUAACUGUACAAAAGGAAAUUUAUUUUCUAUAUGUAUAUCAUUCAGCAUUCUUUGCAGUUUCGGAGUUCUCUUCAUUCUUGAGUUUGCUGAAUGAUCUCUGGGUUACCAUGAGAGGUAUAUAUGGUUCACUAGUCUUCUUGAGGACCUCAAUUGCCUUCUCAGGUUCACGGGGACUGACCAGCUUCUUCUCUACCUCUUCAAAUUUCGCAGUUGCCCAGGGUGCAGUGCCUACACUUCUGGCAGAACUUGGACCAUCUAUUGUCAGCAUCGAUGCUUCAUCCCUGGAAGCAUACCAGGAAUUACCACAGCCAGUACACUCCAGCUGAUAGCGAUCUCCAUGUCCUGCUUGGAUGAUAUCCCUUACACCCACUUUGAACUCAUUGCAUCUUGCGCAGCAAGCAUCCGUCAUCUGCAUGCGUGCCAACUCCUCAGGCUCCUUUCUCGCUGUCUCCUCAGCUGUCAAUCCCUCCUUCAAUUCAUUAGGUGACAUAUUUAGUAUUUUUGAAGGUUCCAACUCUCCAUUAAGUAAGCGCCGAGCCAGCAGUGCAUUAUUCUUCAGGUUGAAAACCAGCUGGCGCAACUUCUGGUUAUAUUUCUGAAAAUCAGAGGAAAGAGCUUCAUGUGAGGCCUUCUCCAGAGCACUUACAGCAGGAACAGCAGCAUCUGGCCAGUUAAAAGUUUUGCUACUUUUAAGACUCUUUGCCUGAGAUCCAUUUGCAGUGCCCUGGGACUUUUGCUCUUUUUCAUGGUCGGUGCCAUCAGAAUCACCUUUCACUUUAUCACCAUUACCUGUGCUGUUGGGAGAACUGCACAUAUAUUGAAUAUAUUGAAGAAGCCUUUCCAACCAUUUGUCACGAUGGGUAUCUCCAGUUAGUGCAUUAAACUUUUCUAAGAUUGCAUAGUACUCCGAAGCAUUGCCUGUACAACUUCCUGGUGUUUCAGCUCUAAAACUAUCAGUCCUGGUAGUUACAUCUUCCUCCCUUGAAACAUCAAGAGGAGUGAUAUUCUUUUUCCUAAGAGUUCUUUUAACCUUUGAGAGAUCUUCUGGUUCAGCAAAAUUAUCUUCAGUUUCAAUGUCAGGAAGCUCCCCCAAACGUGAUAGAGUUUUCUGAACAAGAAGAUCAAUUUCAUGCUGCUUGUUGUCUUCAUAAUCCUUAUCGGUUAACUUCCAAAGCUUUCGUUCUACAGUGUCAUACACUUUCUGGACAAUAAAACCAGGAUGUUGUUUGCGGUUUGGAAGUUGCUUGUGAAUAGGAACAAAAUGCACCACACAUUUGUGCAUUACAGAUUCUGCUGGAACCUCAUCACGAUGGAAACUAUAAAACAGCUCCCGGGUAUCACGUGACUGCCAGCUUCCUCCGCCUUUUCUUUCUGCCUCUUCAGGGCGAUAAAACCACUGUCCAGUUACCAUCAUGCUACCAUUAUUGGUCCGAGCAAUAUCCUUGAUAAUUGCCACAUAAGGUUUUUGCUUUUUAUCCUCAGGAACUAAGAGAACAGGAUCCUCCAGAUCGUAUCGGUUUCCAUCGAACUCAAAAGCAUCGUAAUGACUCCUUCGUCCUCUUCCUUUCCCCGAAAGCUUAACUGGUUCACCGACGGGCUUUGCAUCCUCCUGCGGCGCAACUUCCUCCUCCCGGUCGGUAUUCUCCACUGCUGUCUCUACCCUAGCCUUUUUUUU